CAGUACACGUAGGUAACCUACCCUUAGGACUGAGAUAACCCCGGGAAACUGGGGCUAAUACCAGAUAGAUAAAAGAUACUGGAAUGUUCUUUUAUCCAAAGCUUUUGUGCCUAAGGAUGGGCUUGCGUCCGAUUAGGUUGUUGGUGGGGUAAUGGCCCACCAAGCCUGCGAUCGGUACGGGCAGUGGGAGCUGUAGCCCGGAGUUGGGGACUGAGACAAGGCCCCAGGCCCUACGGGGCGCAGCAGGCGCGAAACCUCUGCAAUGCGGGAAACCGUGACAGGGGGAUCCCAAGUGCUCAUGCAUUGCAUGGGCUGUUCUUUGGUCUAAGUAACCAGAGGAGUAAGGGCUGGGCAAGACCGGUGCCAGCCGCCGCGGUAAUACCGGCAACUCGAGUGGUAGCCGCGAUUAUUGGGCCUAAAGCGUUCGUAGCCGGAUAAGUAAGUCUUUGGUUAAAUCCUGCGACUUAACCGUGGGAAAUCUAGAGAUACUGCUUGUCUUGAGACCGGGAGAGGUUGGAGGUACUCCU
rnacentral:rRNA from 1 species